rnacentral:rRNA from 1 species
AUUGAACGCUGGCGGCAGGCCUAACACAUGCAAGUCGGACGGUAGCACAGAGAGCUUGCUCUUGGGUGACGAGUGGCGGACGGGUGAGUAAUGUCUGGGGAUCUGCCCGAUAGAGGGGGAUAACCACUGGAAACGGUGGCUAAUACCGCAUAACGUCGCAAGACCAAAGAGGGGGACCUUCGGGCCUCUCACUAUCGGAUGAACCCAGAUGGGAUUAGCUAGUAGGCGGGGUAAUGGCCCACCUAGGCGACGAUCCCUAGCUGGUCUGAGAGGAUGACCAGCCACACUGGAACUGAGACACGGUCCAGACUCCUACGGGAGGCAGCAGUGGGGAAUAUUGCACAAUGGGCGCAAGCCUGAUGCAGCCAUGCCGCGUGUAUGAAGAAGGCCUUCGGGUUGUAAAGUACUUUCAGCGGGGAGGAAGGCGACGCGGUUAAUAACCGCGUCGAUUGACGUUACCCGCAGAAGAAGCACCGGCUAACUCCGUGCCAGCCGCCGCGGUAA